UCUCGCUAUGCGUCACGUUAAAAAUAAUGAAUUGCCGGACAAAAUGUUUACACGAAAUCAGCGAAAAAGCCAUUUGCCUAAAUAAGAAAGAUUGCGAAACCAAGGAGCAAGCGAGGGAUACUUGCACUUCCAGCUUUACCCUUCGCGUGCAAUUAUGAAGAUUGAUAGAUACAUUCCUUCCGAAUCCAGGCCCAGACCCCCCACCCCGCCUUCAAAAAAGCUCAUGCAUUUCCCGCUCCCGUUGGCUGUGUCGCCAAAGCAACUUCCUGCCACACAAGCUGCCCCAAGCCGCUCGAGUCCUUCACUCCUUUGACAAAUCUGACAGCUGGCCCGAAAAAGAAGCGAGUGUUUUUGUACCUCCAACCACCAGAAGGAGCUGAACAACAUAAAGCUUAUGCUGGCAACAAAGGGGGUGAAUGGAAGGGAUGGGCUGGUUGGUUAGAGGGGCGGCAGUCAUUAUCAAGCCCUUCAAGGUCUCUCAAGGCAAGCGUCUGCCUCACAGAUUUUUAUGUUCACGACACGCACACACUCGAGUGGGGGUGGUCUCAUAUAUUUUAUGAAAAUUAGGAGACCCUGACUGAGUGCGAGGGAAGUCGGAAUGUGGCCAUAAAUAAAUGGUCUCCUUUACGACUUUGG
ensembl:ncRNA lncRNA:CR43878 long non-coding RNA:CR43878